AUUGAACGCUGGCGGCAGGCCUAACACAUGCAAGUCGAGCGGAGCGGCGGACGGGUGCGUAAUGCCUAGGAAUCUGCCUGUUAGUGGGGGAUAACGUCCGGAAACGGGCGCUAAUACCGCAUACUAUCAGAUGAGCCUAGGUCGGCUUAGCUAGUUGGUGGGUUAAAGGCCUACUAAGGCGACGAUCGGUAACUGGUCUGAGAGGAUGAUCAGUCAUGCUGGAACUGAGACACGGGCCAGACUGCUACGGGAGGCAGCAGUGGGGAAUAUUGGACAAUGGUCGAAAGCCUGAUCCAGCGAUGCCGCGGGUGUUAAGAAGGGCUUCGGAUUGUAAAGCACUUUAAGUUGGGAGGCGUUACCAACAGAAUAAGCACCGGCUAACUUCGUGCCAGCAGCCGCGGUAAUAC
rnacentral:rRNA from 1 species